GGUGUGGGUCGCGAGAAAGGCAGGGGAAGGAGAAACCCUUCUCCUUCAACCUAGCACAAGGAAUUCAGAAAUUGAAGGUGUUGUUGAUCAAAAAUCGAAUGCAUGAAACUAGUUCUUUGCUAAUCUAAGCAUAUUGAACAUAAGGAUGAAUGAUUUGUGCAAGAAUGGAUUGAAAGAAGAAGAAGCUAGUUCCGGUUCGCAACAAAAGGUUCAAGAGAGAGGAUUGAAAGAAGAAGAAGCUAGUUCCGGUUCGUAACAAAAGGUUCAAGAGAGAGGUAAAUCCUCAAUUUAGGCGACUUGGCAAUUUGGAGCGAGCAAAUGCACACUUUAUGGUUAUCAAGCGCUUCCGCUAUUACGUAUUAAUGUUUUGGGUCAAAUGCUCGUUUUGUAUAACAUUGUUAGUGGUUACACUUUCUAACACUUAAUGCAUGGUUCUUAGUCGUGUCUAGUUGAACGGGUUGUAGACUUGUUUGUUUGUUAAUGGUUAA
rnacentral:lncRNA from 1 species